rnacentral:rRNA from 1 species
UACGUAGGCAGCGAGCGUUGUUCGGAGUUACUGGGCGUAAAGAGUGCGUAGGCGGUUUUCUAAGUUUGGAGUGAAAUCUCCCGGCUUAACUGGGAGGGUGCGCCGAAAACUGGAAGGCUGAGUAUGGGAGAGGUAAGCGGAAUUCCUGGUGUAGCGGUGAAAUGCGUAGAUAUCAGGAGGAACACCUGCGGUGUAGACGGCUUACUGGACCAUAACUGACGCUGAGGCACGAAAGCGUGGGUAGCAAACAGG